GUACUCUGUCGGUAGAGCAUGAGAUUCUCAAUCUCAGGGUUGUGGGUUUGAGCCCCACACUAGACA